rnacentral:rRNA from 1 species
UGGGGAAUAUUGCACAAUGGGCGAAAGCCUGAUGCAGCAACGCCGCGUGAGUGAUGACGGUCUUCGGAUUGUAAAGCUCUGUCUUUGGGGACGAUAAUGACGGUACCCAAGGAGGAAGCCACGGCUAACUACGUGCCAGCAGCCGCGGUAAUACGUAGGUGGCAAGCGUUGUCCGGAUUUACUGGGCGUAAAGGGUGCGUAGGCGGACCUGUAAGUGAGAUGUGAAAUCCCCGAGCUUAACUUCGGGGCUGCAUUUCAAACUGGAGGUCUAGAGAGCAGGAGAGGAGAGUGGAAUUCCUAGUGUAGCGGUGACAUGCGUAGAGAUUAGGAAGAACACCAGUGGCGCAGGCGACUCUCUGGACUGUAACUGACGCUGAGGCACGAAAGCGUGGGGAGCAAACAG